GACGAGGGAUGCAAACGUUAUCCGGAAUCACUGGGCGUAAAGCGUCUGUAGGUGGUGAUGCAAGUCACUGGUGCAAAACUCUGGCUCAACCGGAGGAAAGCCAGUGAAACUGCAUGACUAUAGGGUGGGAGAGGUAGAAGGAAUUCCCUGAGUAGCGGUGAAAUGCGUAGAUACAGGGAAGAACACCGGAGGCGAAAGCGUUCUACUGGAACACAACUGACACUGAGAGACGAAAGCUAGGGGAGCGAAUGGG
rnacentral:rRNA from 1 species